GUAAUAGGUGACUCUGGUUUGGCUAUGGGGCCUAAUUUUAUUGCUGUAUCGGAAUCAGAGAACAGCGAGGAUCGGAGUAGUAGGUCUUCUACUGCAGCUAGUGCUCCAAAGGCAAGGUAUGAAGCACCUGUGCACCUUGGUUAUCCAUCUGACAAGCAUUGGUUGAGGAGUUUGAGUGGGAAGAGCUUGAGCACAUCAGCUCAGAAACCACAUCAGAGAAAAGGUCGGGCUGAAACUUGU
rnacentral:misc_RNA from 1 species